AGAGUUUGAUCAUGGCUCAGAACGAACGCUGGCGGCGUGGAUAAGACAUGCAAGUCGAGCGAGAUCUUUUCCUGUAGCAAUACAGGGAAAAGUCUAGCGGCGAACGGGUGCUUAACACGUGGGCAACCUGCCGUGAAGUGGGGGAUAGCUCGCCGAAAGGCGAAUUAAUACCGCAUGUGAUUAGAAAGGACAUCCUUUCGAAAUUAAAGUCGGGGCAACCUGACGCUUCUUGUGGGGCCCGCGGCCUAUCAGCUAGUUGGUGAGGUAACGGCUCACCAAGGCUUUGACGGGUAGCUGGUCUGAGAGGAUGACCAGCCACACUGGGACUGAGACACGGCCCAGACACCUACGGGUGGCAGCAGUCGAGAAUUUUUGACAAUGGGGGAAACCCUGAUCGAGCGACGCCGCGUGGAGGAUGAAGGUCUUCGGAUUGUAAACUCCUGUCAUUGGGGAACAAGGUGCAUACGUUAACUGCGUGUGCAUUGAUAGUACCCGAAGAGGAAGAGACGGCUAACUCUGUGCCAGCAGCCGCGGUA
rnacentral:rRNA from 1 species